CAUGAAUCAUCGUAGGAAAAACUUUAAUAUUAUGAAAAAAAUAUUAAUAAAAAAUAUUUUAAAAGAUUAAAUGAUUUAUUCUAUACAUUAUUAGUGAUUUUGAAUGAAAAAAAUUAUCACUAGAAAAAUAAAAGUAUCAUAUGUGGCAAGCCACAACAUCAACUCGAUUGUGUUACGCGUUCACACCAUUAGUCUAAUCUUUUCUACAAACUUUAGGAAAGACCAUUAUCCAUCAAAGGUGUCUCGGGGAUAAAUGGGUUUUAAAUAACCCAGGGGUUGUAUUCGCGGGUCUCGUAUAUAUACUUUUUUCUGGAUUUUUUUGAUUCAUUUUGAAUUUCACUAUUCACUCUGGGAGAGAGAAAAUUGAGAGAAACCUGAUCAUCUUCUUCGUGCUUCCAUCCGAGGGGAGAGAAAUCAUUUCCUAGCUCACUCUUCUUCAAAUUUCGGCAUUUUUCUGGUUUCUGAGUUUCGUCGCUUAAUCUUCUUCAAUUUCGCCUAAUUUCUUGUCAAAAAUGGCGAGAACCAAAAUUGCAUCACAAACACCUAAGGACAAUCCUUCUGUUAAGGAUCCACGUGCAUCAAUAGUAGCUGGUAAGCUGCCUCAGGAGACUUGUUCUGAGGUUCCUAAACCAACAAAAAAACAUGGUAGAAAACAGGCUAAAGAAAAUCAUGUUGAUUCAAACUUUGUCGUUGCUCCGUCCAAGAAAAGGGACAAGGAAAACACCUACAGUAAAGAAAUAUUUGGAGAAUGAUGGUCAUAGUAUUGAGUUAGAUAGGUAUAAUCUUUGUCCUCUUUUUUUAUUGGUUGGUUAAUGUGUGUUUUUAACAUGUGAUGUAUAUAACUGCAACCAAU